UUCAAGAAUUGCUUAAGAAGUCUACAUGAAGGCUUUUAAGUUUUAAGUUGCUCAAAGUCAAGAACAACUUUCAUAUUUUAACCCAUCACAAGUCAAUCUAUAUUGAAGAACACAAACAUUGAAAAAUGGUCAGGCAGGUAAAAUUUUAGUAUUUGGAGACUCUAUGCUACAUUGCCCAACCUAUCAUUGUCAAAUUCUGUGUUAAGUAAUAGGGUCUUGCUUUAGAUUGAGAAGGAAGAUGGAAGCCUUUCUCCUUAUACAUUUACUUCAGCUUCAACAAAAUCACUUGCAAAAAAGUUAUGGGCCAAAUAGAAAUUUAUUAAGCAGUUUGGAGGUGGUAGGCAGUAUGUAAAGGCUAUGGAAAAUUAGAGAAGCUCUGCCGUAGAGUGGUUUCAUGUGUUAGCUUAGUGGUCAUUGUUGUAAGAGACUCCAUGGUGGUGCUGCAAGUUGAGUGGAAUUAUCUGGAGCUAUUUACUAGACAAGCUUGCUAUUGUUCCAGAUGCGAGGGAAUUGGAGAUUGUAUCUCCAUUUAUUCCAAAAAAGGUAGUUGUUUCUCCUACAAUGUGGUCUGAAGUCUUAAAAGCCUUAUAAUAAAUGAAAUGUGACUUGGUUUGGUUUAUGCUGAAGCAUACUUUAAACAAGCUACUACAGUAACCUGUUGCUAAAAGGAAAAGCAUCAUGAGAAAAAUGUUUAAUAUUGUUAAUUCCUGCCAAAUUUCUAUAUUCUCUUCUUGCUUUAUCAGUGUUCACUCCACAGUACCCAUUCGAUAGGUAGGAAAAUAAGAAAUUUGUAAAUCAGGAAAUCAUUUACUAGUGACUUUUAAGUUGCUGAGCU